UACGGAGGAUGCGAGCGUUAUCCGGAUUUAUUGGGUUUAAAGGGUGCGCAGGCGGAGCAAUAAGUCAGCGGUGAAAUCCCACAGCUUAACUGUGGGACUGCCAUUGAUACUGUUGUUCUUGAGUGUAGCUGAAGAGGGCGGAAUGUGUUGUGUAGCGGUGAAAUGCUUAGAUAUAACACAGAACACCGAUUGCGAAGGCAGCUCUCUAAAGUACAACUGACGCUCAGGCACGAAAGCGUGGGGAG
rnacentral:rRNA from 1 species